UACAGAGGUCCCAAGCGUUGUUCGGAUUCAUUGGGCGUAACGGGUGUGUAGGUGGCGCCGUAAGUCGGGUGUGAAAUCUCGGGGCUUAACUCCGAAACUGCAUUCGAUACUGCGGUGCUUGAGGACUGGAGAGGAGACUGGAAUUCAUGGUGUAGCAGUGAAAUGCGUAGAGAUCAUGAGGAAGACCAGUGGCGAAGGCGGGUCUCUGGACAGUUCCUGACACUGAGACACGAAGGCCAGGGGAGCAAACGGG
rnacentral:rRNA from 1 species